UUGCAGGGUAUAGACCCGAAACCCGGUGAUCUAGCCAUGGGCAGGUUGAAGGUUGGGUAACACUAACUGGAGGACCGAACCGACUAAUGUUGAAAAAUUAGCGGAUGACCUGUGGCUGGGGGUGAAAGGCCAAUCAAACCGGGAGAUAGCUGGUUCUCCCCGAAAGCUAUUUAGGUAGCGCCUCGUGAAUUCAUCUCCGGGGGUAGAGCACUGUUUCGGCUAGGGGGCCAUCCCGGCUUACCAACCCGAUGCAAACUGCGAAUACCGGAGAAUGUUAUCACGGGAGACACACGGCGGGUGCUAACGUCCGUCGUGAAGAGGGAAACAACCCAGACCGCCAGCUAAGGUCCCAAAGUCAUGGUUAAGUGGGAAACGAUGUGGGAAGGCCCAGACAGCCAGGAUGUUGGCUUAGAAGCAGCCAUCAUUUAAAGAAAGCGUAAUAGCUCACUGGUCGAGUCGGCCUGCGCGGAAGAUGUAACGGGGCUAAACCAUGCACCGAAGCUGCGGCAGCGACACUGUGUGUUGUUGGGUAGGGGAGCGUUCUGUAAGCCUGUGAAGGUGUGUCG
rnacentral:rRNA from 1 species